UGUUGCUGCACUUGUAUCUGUUGCUGCUACCAGUAUGUCCUGUCAUUAUCAAAUAAGAGAAAUUAAGAUCUUAAACCAGACCUGUCUUUUAAAUUGUGGUUAGUGUGAUUGCGGUCAUUAUGAUGCGGAUUGUGAACAUUAUGGUAUUAAUUUGAUGCGUCUUGAUAUGGCCCAAUGCAGUCUGAUGCAGUUACGUUGCUGCCCCAUCAUUGUAAUUCAGUGUCACAAUACAAUUGCAGUUUGAUGUGGUCACUACAACUAUAAUAUUAUGACAUCAUAGAGCAAUACAAUCCACACUUUAAAUCAUUGAAUCAGACUAUCACUUCAUGUUCUAUGUUCAAAAUGAUUAAUAUCAUAUAAAUUAAAAGUAAAAGGGGCAUUGGUGAUGAAACUGGUUUUUCCACAGGAGCUUAAUGUCAAAUGUGAUGGUGGUAGAAUUUAAUUUUGUGAAAGUAGAACCAUAAAGUUCUGAUUAAAAGUAAAAGGGGCUUUGGUGAUGAAACUGCUUUUUUCAUAGAAGCUUAAUGUCAGAUGUGAUUGUGGUACAAUUUAAUUUUGUGAAAGUAGAACUAUAAAGUUCUGAUUAAAAGUAAAAAGGGGCAUUGGUGAUGAAACUGCUUUCUUCAUAGAAGCUUAAUGUCAAAUGUGAUUGUGGUACAAUUUAAUUUUGUGAAAGUAGGUGGAAGGAGUAUGAGUGUUUUUGAUUAG